ensembl:lncRNA
GGUUCGUCCCCAGGUUGUUUUUGGUCGACCUUGACUCCUUUUCCCUGUUGGGGUCCAUCUCAGUGCGACCUUUGGGAUACAAUCCUGGUCCAUCCUGAGUGCAUGUCCCAGCCUUCGUAAUCGGCGACGUUUGAUUUCCGACACAGCAGGAGUGCACUUGGUCUUCCUGUGCAGUUCUUUGCUGGAGAUCUUCUCAGGCAAGAAGAUGCAGCAGAUUUUCCGGAGAGAUUUAUUGUGGAAGGCAUCGAUCCUUUUCAUGUCGUGCGUUGUCACUCGCCAACAUACCGAGCUGUAGAACAGCACAGAUGUCGGAUCAUUGUUUUGAAGCUGUACUGCUUUGACUUCCAUAUAGGAUGAAGCCUUUCAAAAGCACCGUGGGCCUUGCCUAGCCUUGCUCUGAUGUCCUAUGAUGUUGAGUUGUCUUUGCUGACAAGACUUCCCAGUCGAUGGCCAUCAGCAGAGGCGGAGUGGCCGUUGGGACGAUCGGGAGAUUUCCCGGUCAGCCGGCCGGCCAACGAAGUCAGGUGGACCGGCCCACAAUUGUGUAGCGGCCUGCGAAGUCAGUUGGACCAGCCCACAGUUGUGAGCGGCCGCGAGGCGUCUGCAAGCCGGCCCUGAGAAUAAUUUAU